AAAAACAGUCAAUUGAAAAGCGUGAGAACGAACAGAAUGUUGCAUUCUUUGCAUAUUUAAACAACCACGUGGAGAAUCCUGGGGUUCAUCAGGUUAUUACUUUUGAUCACGUGACAACGAAUAUUGGAAACGGAUACAACGUAUUUGCAGGCGAUUUUAGGGCACCUGUCGCUGGAACAUACGUCUUCGCUACAACGCUAAUGGCUGAUACAAGUAGAGUACCUUACCAUUUCCAGAUAAUGCACAAUGCGAAGACAGUUUCGAGUAUUUAUGUUGAAAAUGGCGGAACUGGAAGCCAAGAAGUAGUGCUUCAACUGAAUCAAGGGGACGAUGUUUCGAUCCACAAUAUUGACGCUGGACAGAAGGUAUACGGACAUGGUUACAGUACCUUCUCUGGGUUUCUCUUGCAACAAAACUACUCAAGUGCUAGCAUCGUUGGCAAAUAACCUCCAUCCACCAGGACGACUGGUAAUGGACAAGGAUGUCUCUAUCUCUUUAUUUCUUAAAAGGACUCCACUGAGGCUUUUGACAUGACGGGACUGGAAACAUUCUUACCUAGACUCGUGUACCAUUAAUGUAGGUCUGGGCCAAUACAAUGUAUCUAUCCAUGUGCAAAUUUUAAGAUCUUUCCGAAUAAUUGAUUAUUCGUGCAAAAGGCCAAAAACAAUGAAAAGCUUUGCAACGAUUUUCACUCAAAUUGACUUACAAAUCGUAUCACAAGUCGAUAUUCAAUUUAAUUCAAUUUAAUUCUUUAUCAUUCUUUGCAGAUUUUUCUUUUCAAUUUCAAAUGAUUUAUAUAAGAAUUUCAUUUUUUGUUGCAAGUUUUUGUGUUGUUUUUUUUACCUCAGUGGAAGUCCUUGAGUAAAUAUCAUUAUUUGUGAUGUAUGUAUUAAAUGAAAUACAGUUU